rnacentral:rRNA from 1 species
UACGGGGGGGGCAAGCGUUGUUCGGAAUUACUGGGCGUAAAGCGUGCGCAGGCGGUCUUGCAAGACAGAUGUGAAAUCCCCGGGCUUAACUCGGAAAGGUCAACUGAUACUGCGGGGCUAGAGUGCGGAAGGGGCAACUGGAAUUCUCGGUGUAGCGGUGAAAUGCGUAGAUAUCGAGAGGAACACCUGCGGCGAAGGCGGGUUGCUGGGCCGACACUGACGCUGAGGCGCGAAAGCUAGGGGAGCGAACGGG